rnacentral:rRNA from 1 species
CCUAAGGUAGCGAAAUUCCUUGUCGGGUAAGUUCCGACCUGCACGAAUGGCGUAAUGAUGGCCAGGCUGUCUCCACCCGAGACUCAGUGAAAUUGAACUCGCUGUGAAGAUGCAGUGUACCCGCGGCAAGACGGAAAGACCCCGUGAACCUUUACUAUAGCUUGACACUGAACAUUGAGCCUUGAUGUGUAGGAUAGGUGGGAGGCUUUGAAGUGUGGACGCCAGUCUGCAUGGAGCCGACCUUGAAAUACCACCCUUUAAUGUUUGAUGUUCUAACGUGGACCCGUGAUCCGGGUUGCGGACAGUGUCUGGUGGGUAGUUUGACUGGGGCGGUCUCCUCCCAAAGCGUAACGGAGGAGCACGAAGGUUAGCUAAUCCUGGUCGGACAUCAGGAGGUUAGUGCAAUGGCAUAAGCUAGCUUGACUGCGAGCGUGACGGCGCGAGCAGGUGCGAAAGCAGGUCAUAGUGAUCCGGUGGUUCUGAAUGGAAGGGCCAUCGCUCAACGGAUAAAAGGUACUCCGGGGAUAACAGGCUGAUACCGCCCAAGAGUUCAUAUCGACGGCGGUGUUUGGCACCUCGAUGUCGGCUCAUCUCAUCCUGGGGCUGUAGCCGGUCCCAAGGGUAUGGCUGUUCGCCAUUUAAAGAGGUACGUGAGCUGGGUUUAAAACGUCGUGAGACAGUUUGGUCCCUAUCUGCCGUGGGCGCUGGAAGAUUGACGGGGGCUGCUCCUAGUACGAGAGGACCGGAGUGGACGCACCUCUGGUGUACCGGUUGUCACGCCAGUGGCAUCGCCGGGUAGCUAUGUGCGGAAGAGAUAACCGCUGAAAGCAUCUAAGCGGGAAACUUGCCUGAAGAUAAGUCUUCCCGGAGGCUAGACCUCCCUGAAGAGUCGUUCGAGACCAGGACGUUGAUAGGUCGGGUGUGUAAGCGUUGUGAGACGUUUAGCUAACCGAUACUAAUUGCUCGUGAGGCUUGAUCCU